CCCUCAGCAGCCCACGAUCUCGGACGGUUUGCCACUGUGGCCAGUGUUUUAUUGAUGCUUCUGAGGCCAUAGAGCACGCACGGGGAAGUUCUGAGCACACGGAGGACAAGCCAGGGCGGUGCUGUGUGGCCGCAGUCAACCCUAAGUAGGGGUCCGAGUGGGGGACGGUCGCUAACACCUCGAUUCCUCAUGUCUGUGUUUCUGCAGCUUGGAGCUUGGAGAGUGUGUGUGAGAGCGACCUCGCUGACAGCAACCUCGCAGAAAGUGAUCGAGACUCGGUGGCGGAGCGCACCGACUGCCGCCAGGAUGAGGAGGCUGCAGGUAGGGAAGAGCACGCAGCUGGGAUCCAGGGGGAGAGGGUUCCUGGGAGCAGCUGGGUUCCACCUGCUGCCGGGAGAGGGCGGAAGGGGGCUAGGACUUGGGUGGGUGGCCUACUGAGCGGAACUCCGCUGUGGUGUUUUCCCCUCUGAAGUUGCUAAGCCGAAGACGACUUGGGUCCCUGGUCUUUGUUGUGCUGUGUUUGGAUUCGUGUCUCCUUCCUUUGAGAGGGAGAAUGGCUUUUCCCUCCCGAAGCGGCUCCUUCCAGCUCUUGUCUCUGGCCAUGGUGCCAGCUUGCUUUGUGGGUCGCACCCUGAGGGUCCUGUGCACAAGAGCUGUUGACUUAGUUUCCUUUGUUGCCCUUGAGGGCCCUGGUGUGGUGGGACGCAACCCUCUCCUAGGCCCUUGACCCUGGAG
rnacentral:lncRNA from 9 species